rnacentral:rRNA from 1 species
AAUCAACGCUGGCGGCGUGCCUCAGACAUGCAAGUCGAACGCGAAAGUCCCCCUCGGGGGACAAGUAGAGUGGCGCACGGGUGAGUAACACGUAGGUAAUCUACCUUCGGGUGGGGAAUAACAAUCGGAAACGGUUGCUAAUACCGCAUAAUGCAGCGGCACCUAAUGGUGACAGUUGUUAAAGCGGGGGAUCGCAAGAUCUCGCGCCUGAAGAGGAGCCUGCGGCGGAUUAGCUAGUUGGUAGGGUAAUGGCCUACCAAGGCGACGAUCCGUAGCCGGCCUGAGAGGGCGGUCGGCCACACUGACACUGACAUACGGGUCAGACUCCUACGGGAGGCAGCA